ACGAACGCUGGCGGCGUGCUUAACGCAUGCAAGUCGAACGGAAAGGCCUGCAGCUUGCUGCGGGUACUCGAGUGGCGAACGGGUGAGUAACACGUGGGUGAUCUGCCUUGCACUUCGGGAUAAGCUUGGGAAACUGGGUCUAAUACCGGAUAGGACAGCUGUUUAGUGUCAGUUGUGGAAAGUUUUUUCGGUGCAAGAUGAGCUCGCGGCCUAUCAGCUUGUUGGUGGGGUAAUGGCCUACCAAGGCGUCGACGGGUAGCCGGCCUGAGAGGGUGUACGGCCACAUUGGGACUGAGGUACGGCCCAGACUCCUACGGGAGGCAGCAGUGGGGAAUAUUGCACAAUGGGCGGAAGCCUGAUGCAGCGACGCCGCGUGGGGGAUGAAGGCCUUCGGGUUGUAAACUCCUUUCGACAGGGACGAAGCUUUUGUGACGGUACCUGUAUAAGAAGCACCGGCUAACUACGUG
rnacentral:rRNA from 1 species